rnacentral:rRNA from 1 species
AGUGAACGCUGGCGGUAGGCCUAACACAUGCAAGUCGAACGGCAGCACAGUAAGAGCUUGCUCUUACGGGUGGCGAGUGGCGGACGGGUGAGGAAUACAUCGGAAUCUACUUUUUCGUGGGGGAUAACGUAGGGAAACUUACGCUAAUACCGCAUACGACCUACGGGUGAAGGCAGGGGAUCUUCGGACCUUGCGCGAUUGAAUGAGCCGAUGUCGGAUUAGCUAGUUGGCGGGGUAAAGGCCCACCAAGGCGACGAUCCGUAGCUGGUCUGAGAGGAUGAUCAGCCACACUGGAACUGAGACACGGUCCAGACUCCUACGGGAGGCAGCAGUGGGGAAUAUUGGAGAAUGGGCGCAAGCCUGAGCCAGCCAUACCGCGUGGGUGAAGAAGGCCUUCGGGUUGUAAAGCCCUUUUGUUGGGAAAGAAAAGCAGCAGGUUAAUACCCCGCUGUUCUGACGGUACCCAAAGAAUAAGCACCGGCUAACUUCGU